UAUCGGCCAUGAAGACAAUAACAAGCUUCAAUGCCAGUUCUGCUUCUGAAAUUCAUGAAUGAGCAAGCAAGCUGUUAAUAUCUGAGCCUUUG